rnacentral:rRNA from 1 species
GACGAACGCUGGCGGCGUGCCUAACCCAUGCAAGUCGAACGAAGUGGCGAACGGGUGAGUAAUACGUGGGUAACUGCCCUCCUUUUUGGGAUAAGCCUUGGAAACGGGGUCUAAUACCGAAUACAGGGGGAUGGCGCGCGGCGUAUCAGCUUGUGGGUGGGGUGAUGGCCGACCAAGGCGGUGACGGGGAGCCGGCCUGGGAGGGUGCCCGGCCACAUGGGGCUGAGGUAGGGCCCAAACUCCUACGGGGGGAAAGCGUGGGAAUUAUUGCGCAAUGGGGGAGACCCUGAGGCAGCAGCGCCGGGUGCGGAAUGACGGCCUUCGGGUUGUAAACCGCUUUCAGCCAUGACGCGGUAGUGGCAGAAGAAGCACCGGCUAACUACGUGCCAGCAGCCGCGGUAAUUC